rnacentral:misc_RNA from 1 species
AAGGUACGGCGGAGCGAGUACGGCGAUGACCAGCGGAGGGAUCAUUACCGAGUUUACAACUCCCAAACCCAAUGUGAACGUUACCAAACUGUUGCCUCGGCGGGAUCUCUGCCCCGGGUGCGUCGCAGCCCCGGACCAAGGCGCCCGCCGGAGGACCAACCAAAACUCUUAUUGUAUACCCCCUCGCGGGUUUUUUUAUAAUCUGAGCCUUCUCGGCGCCUCUCGUAGGCGUUUCGAAAAUGAAUCAAAACUUUCAACAACGGAUCUCUUGGUUCUGGCAUCGAUGAAGAACGCAGCGAAAUGCGAUAAGUAAUGUGAAUUGCAGAAUUCAGUGAAUCAUCGAAUCUUUGAACGCACAUUGCGCCCGCCAGUAUUCUGGCGGGCAUGCCUGUCCGAGCGUCAUUUCAACCCUCGAACCCCUCCGGGGGGUCGGCGUUGGGGAUCGGCCCUGCCUUGGCGGUGGCCGUCUCCGAAAUACAGUGGCGGUCUCGCCGCAGCCUCUCCUGCGCAGUAGUUUGCACACUCGCAUCGGGAGCGCGGCGCGUCCACAGCCGUUAAACACCCAACUUCUGAAAUGUUGACCUCGGAUCAGGUAGGAAUACCCGCUGAACUUAAGCAUAUCAAUAAGCGGAGGAAAAGAAACCAACAGGGAUUGCCCCGUUAACCGCGAUUNUUNUUUUUUANAAUUUUUAAAAGAGGUUAUUGUUUAUAUAUAAAUUUUAUANAUAAAAUUUGAAAGUUAUAAANAAAAUAUUUGUUNAAUUUUUUUUUUAAUNAUAGAAANAAAAUGAUAAGUGGUUUAGUAUAAAAAAUAGNGUUGUGGUGAUUUGAUUAAUGUUAUUUUNAAAGAAGGGGGUNGAUUUNAANAAGGAUUGGAAAAUGGGAGUGGGANGGGAGUGG